rnacentral:tRNA from 1 species
GCUCCAGUAGCUCAAUCGGUUAGAGCGCCGUGCUUAUAACGCGGAGGUUGCGGGUUCGAGCCCCGCCUGGAGCA